rnacentral:rRNA from 1 species
UACGUAGGUGGCAAGCGUUGUCCGGAUUUACUGGGCGUAAAGAGCGCGCAGGCGGUCGUUUAAGUCGAAUGUGAAAGCCCCCGGCUCAACUGGGGAGGGUCAUUCGAUACUGAUCGACUUGAAGGCAGGAGAGAGAAGUGGAAUUCCCGGUGUAGUGGUGAAAUGCGUAGAUAUCGGGAGGAACACCUGUGGCGAAAGCGGCUCACUGGACAACAACUGACGCUGAUGCGCGAAAGCUAGGGGAGCAAACAGG